CAGCAGCCGCGGGAAUACGGAGGGUGCAAGCGUUAAUCGGAAUUACUGGGCGUAAAGCGCACGCAGGCGGUCUGUCAAGUCAGAUGUGAAAUCCCCGGGCUUAUCCUGGGAACUGCAUUUGAAACUGGCAGGCUAGAGUCUUGUAGAGGGGGGUAGAAUUCCAGGUGUAGCGGUGAAAUGCGUAGAGAUCUGGAGGAAUACCGGUGGCGAAGGCGGCCCCCUGGACGAAGACUGACGCUCAGGUGCGAAAGCGUGGGGAGCAAACAGGAUUAGAUACCCGGGUAGUCCCUGUCUCUUAUAC
rnacentral:rRNA from 1 species